rnacentral:rRNA from 1 species
UACGGGGGGAGCAAGCGUUGUUCGGAAUUACUGGGCGUAAAGGGCGCGUAGGCGGUCAGGUAAGUGAGAUGUGAAAUCCUCCGGCUCACCCGGAGAAAUGCAUCUCAUACUGCUUGACUAGAGUGCGGAAGAGGAAUCGGGAAUUCCAGGUGUAGCGGUGAAAUGCGUAGAUAUCUGGAGGAACACCGGUGGCGAAGGCGCGAUUCUGGUCCGUUACUGACGCUGAGGCGCGAAAGCCAGGGGAGCAAACGGG